rnacentral:sRNA from 1 species
CGAGGGAAGUCGGCGAGAGGGAGACUGGGUUGGGGGAGGGGUUCCGGCCUGUUCCCCGCGGCUGCGGCAGCACCAGCGCCGGCCGCCACCGCCUCUAGAACGCGGAGGAGGUGGGUCCUGGGAAGCGGGAUGUCCAUCGCUCCAGCUUGGUGGUGAAUGCUGAGGAGAGUCACUGUUGCUGCAGUCUGUGCCACCCGGAGGAAGUUGUGUGAGGCCGGGCGGGAGCUCGCGGCGCUCUGGGGAAUCGAAACGCGGGGUCGGUGCGAAGACUCUGCUGCUGCCAGACCCUUUCCUAUUCUGGCCAUGCCUGGAAGGAACAAGGCGAAGUCUACCUGCAGCUGCCCUGACCUGCAGCCCAAUGGACAGGAUCUGGGCGAGAACAGCCGAGUUGCCCGUCUAGGAGCGGAUGAAUCUGAGGAAGAGGGACGAAGGGGGUCUCUCAGUAAUGCCGGGGACCCUGAGAUCGUCAAGUCUCCCAGCGACCCCAAGCAAUACCGAUACAUCAAAUUACAGAAUGGCUUGCAGGCACUUCUGAUUUCAGACCUAAGUAAUAUGGAGGGUAAAACAGGAAAUACAACAGAUGAUGAAGAAGAAGAGGAGGUGGAGGAAGAAGAAGAAGAUGAUGAUGAAGAUUCUGGAGCUGAAAUAGAAGAUGAUGAUGAAGAGGGUUUUGAUGAUGAAGAUGAGUUUGAUGAUGAACAUGAUGAUGAUCUUGAUACUGAGGAUAAUGAAUUGGAAGAAUUAGAAGAGAGGGCAGAAGCUAGAAAAAAAACUACUGAAAAACAGGUGCGAGUCAUGUCUGUUUUCUUCUAAUUUGGGAAUUCUUUGGGUAACUUCUAAACUCAAGCUUUAUUUUUUAAUGGCAAAAAGGAAGUAUAUAGUUAUCUUUUGGUCUUCAGUAAAGGUCUAUUCUGUAUCAGGAUUACAUUUUGAAAACAUUUUCCUCCAAUUAUAAAAGUAGUAAAUGCUCAUUAUAUAAACUAAUGGAAUAUAAAGAAAACAAAAAUAUAAAAAUCACCC